rnacentral:rRNA from 1 species
UACGGAGGAUGCGAGCGUUAUCCGGAUUUAUCGGGUUUAAAGGGUGCGUAGGCGGCUUAAUAAGUCAGAGGUGAAAGACGGGAGCUUAACUGUCGCAGUGCCUUUGAUACUGUUAAGCUUGAAUGUGAUUGAAGAUGGCGGAAUGAGACAAGUAGCGGUGAAAUGCUUAGAUAUGUCUCAGAACACCGAUUGCGAAGGCAGCUGUCUAAGUCAAUAUUGACGCUGAUGUACGAAAGCGUGGGGAUCAAACAGG